UUGGGGCCCUUUAUAGAUUGCUGUUCGGUGUGAGCCAAGGCUCCGUGUUAAGGACAGUACCUUGACCUAUAAUUGUCUACUUUUAUAAAUUGUGACUUGGAUGGAGACUUGUCUCAUUGGCACUCAUACCACAUCUUCUUAUAUACAUCAUGUACAUAGUGACAGGUAUAGGUGACUUAUUGCAUAUAGUCACGGUGAAACCGGUUAAAAAAG
rnacentral:lncRNA from 1 species